AAUUCGCCCUUGUGCCAGCAGCCGCGGUGAUACGGAGGGUGCAAGCGUUAAUCGGAAUUACUGGGCGUAAAGCGCACGCAGGCGGUCUGUCAAGUCGGAUGUGAAAUCCCCGGGCUCAACCUGGGAACUGCAUCCGAAACUGGCAGGCUAGAGUCUUGUAGAGGGGGGUAGAAUUCCAGGUGUAGCGGUGAAAUGCGUAGAGAUCUGGAGGAAUACCGGUGGCGAAGGCGGCCCCCUGGACAAAGACUGACGCUCAGGUGCGAAAGCGUGAGGAGCAAACAGGAUUAGAUACCCUGGUAGUCCACGCCGUAAACGAUGUCGACUUGGAGGUUGUGCCCUUGAGGCGUGGCUUCCGGAGCUAACGCGUUAAGUCGACCGCCUGGGGAGUACGGCCGCAAGGUUAAAACUCAAAUGAAUUGACGGGGGCCCGCACAAGCGGUGGAGCAUGUGGUUUAAUUCGAUGCAACGCGAAGAACCUUACCUACUCUUGACAUCCAGAGAACUUAGCAGAGAUGCUUUGGUGCCUUCGGGAACUCUGAGACAGGUGCUGCAUGGCUGUCGUCAGCUCGUGUUGUGAAAUGUUGGGUUAAGUCCCGCAACGAGCGCAACCCUUAUCCUUUGUUGCCAGCGGUUAGGCCGGGAACUCAAAGGAGACUGCCAGUGAUAAACUGGAGGAAGGUGGGGAUGACGUCAAGUCAUCAUGGCCCUUACGAGUAGGGCUACACACGUGCUACAAUGGCAUAUACAAAGAGAAGCGACCUCGCGAGAGCAAGCGGACCUCAUAAAGUAUGUCGUAGUCCGGAUUGGAGUCUGCAACUCGACUCCAUGAAGUCGGAAUCGCUAGUAAUCGUGGAUCAGAAUGCCACGGUGAAUACGUUCCCGGGCCUUGUACACACCGCCCGUCACACCAUGGGAGUGGGUUGCAAAAGAAGUAGGUAGCUUAACCUUCGGGAGGGCGCU
rnacentral:rRNA from 1 species